GAAAACGGGAGCGUGAGCGAGAGAGGGGCUGUCCGGGGACCGAUGGUGAGCGGAGGAGGGGUGGGGUCUAGGCAGCUGGAGUGGAACGGGUGGUGGCGAGUGGCGGUCGAGGCUGCUGGGGGUGGAACCGCGGGUAGGUGCUCGACCUCGUCGGCCUACUCCUGCUUGGGUGGCUCUGACGGAGAAGGAGGUCGCUGGUGCGGUGGCCGGGGUCGCGGUGGUCCUGCAGCGCCGUGGUGGUGGCUCGAAGGUCGAGAGGGGCAGGGUUAGGGGAGGAGGCCGGCCGGCGAGGAAGGCGUGGUGGUCUUCGUCGUGUCCGCCUGUCGUCGUCGACGCGGGCGGAGGGCGGGUGCAGUCGUCUUCGGCACGAGCUAGGCCAGUUUCUACUAUAAAAAUGUGCCCGCCGCCACGAGCUAGGCACGACCUCGUCACCCUCCUCCUGCCGCCGCGUCGCCCGAAGACAAGAAGGGACGACAGCUCUUCGUCAGGGCCGGACAACUGGGCGCGCGGGAGCAGGACCGGCACCGGCGAUGGACCCGACGAGCGUUCCGUCGCGUUGUACAGCCCCAGCGGCUGCUGGGACUCCUCCUUCUCCUCACGAACCAGGCCGCGAGGCAGAGGACGUGGGACGGCGGUGCGCGAGGAACUUCUACGGGUCGGUCGGUACUUCAUUAAGUUCAAGUUCCUAGAGGAGUUUCCUUUCCUUCUACCGACAUGAGUGUAUAAGAGGUACAGGGUAGGUAGUCACUCCUGAACUACCUUUUACCUCUGCAAACAUAGUCCCUCAAACAACUGUUCUCGAGGUAUGACUGAUGAUAGUCCAAGUUCCUCUGAGCAGUAGUAUCAGUGACAAGAUACAUUAGAUAGUAUUGUCACCGUCAAAGGAGGGAGUUCAACGAGCCUAGGUCAAUCCGUUUGUUUCAUACGUCACUUGAGAUCACGUAUUAGAAAAAACUCCCAUGCGGUUUCCGGUAAUACAGAAUGACGUUACAUAGAGUCGGGUAAUGUUGACUUGGUUUAUAUUUAUAUAAUGGUAAUCUACGGGUUCUAACUUUUGUGUUUUACUGGAUAGUCUACGACUUGUAAAAGAAUGAAUAAUUCUUUUGUGAUUCGAUUACGGACUUCCAUACCAAGAGGGUCAACACGUAUAGUAUAAAACAACUAACGUCUUCUCAUAAAUUCUAGUUCUUAAUGUGAUAAAUAGAAGAGAAAAUCUCUUUUUUGUCUACUUCAUACGAAUACAAAGAUUGAAAUUGUAAGACCUCAUGUCGGAGAAACUCCUCGCGAUUCGAAUCGUUCCAACUUAACGACAAGAAAAAAACAGUUUCGUACAGUCAUCUGCGGUAAUUCUCUAAUUCGUUGUAGAUUGCCGAAGUGACUACAACAGUUAAAAGACGACUAAACAGUUAGAACGAAAACAAAAGUGUCCACCUGUCUACCUGGACAAGUUCAGUCAAAAGAACCGGGAACGGAUCGGAUCGGAUCGGAUCGGAUCGACGAACUUUCCUUCCCCCGCUACCUCCACCACCGUCUCCGGCCGCGCGUCGUCGGGACCCUGGUCAAGUUCCUCCUCCACCUCUAGUACCUCCUCGUCGGCUUCCUCGUCUUUCCUCGUCGCUCGUCGUCGCCGCCGACUGGAGCUCGAGAGCUAACCUCACCUCCCUCCGCCGGCUGCUCCCUAGACGCCGGCUGCCCCUUCCUAGACCUCGACGCCGCCUCGUCCGUUGGUCACCCCUUUCCGCCGGCGGCCACUCCCUCGAAGACUAGCGCCGCCCCUUCCCGCUGGUUUCUCCCCUAGCCCGAGACUAACCUCGCCGCGUCCGUCGGCCGCCCCUUCCUGCUCGUUGCCUCCUUCUGCUGCCGGGCUCGCUAAAGUUUAGCCCCCCAGUCAAAGCAUUAAAGUGAACAAAAGUGGACCAGCCUGGGGGGUGCUGUUAAUAAAGCCUUGCCUCCCUCAUAAUAUAAUAUAAAUGAUUAACCUCUGUGAUUAGCUCUGAGGUACAAUUAGGAGUAUUAUGAUUCAAUUAAUUGG
rnacentral:rRNA from 1 species